rnacentral:lncRNA from 1 species
UUUUGGGUUUAAUUUAGUUAAAUUGUUAAUAACUAUGUUGUAAAUGGUUUUCCAGGCGAUGUUUGUUUUUGUUUAAUACCCAAAAGUGUUUAUUGAAAUCUAGAUUUGGCAUAUUUGUGAGAUCUAGAAGAUUAAAAAAUAAAGAGGAGUCAUCAUGAUGGUCUCCUGGAAAAAUGCCCACAAGAGAGUGGAAAUUGUAUACCUCCCUAUUCAUCUAGGCAGGUGGUGGUCGGUCGGCUAGUGGUGACAUGGUAUUACCUAGAGGCAAUGGACGGAAGCUGAUUACCGCAUUUAGGGGGUAACCUUGGGAUACAUACUUAUUAUUAUACCAUUGAUCUCAGCAGAAUCACUAACACACACCCAUAAUAGAGCGCGAUGUCUGGUGUGCCUUUCAGUAAAGCUCUUGUUGUCUUCAAACACUAUGGUGGCCGAAUAUUUACAAGAAACGGUUUUAGCUAAAGAGCUGAAAUAUGGACAGGAGGUUGGUCUCCCACCAAAUAGAUCCACUAAGACGGGAUUUUUGGAAAUUCGGAUGAUUAGGGGUUUAAAAAUGGAUGGCGGUACAUUAAGCACUCAUAUUGCCAGGUUAUCACACGUUUGUUCAGAGAAAAC